UACGGAGGGUGCAAGCGUUAUCCGGAUUCACUGGGUUUAAAGGGUGCGUAGGUGGGCAGGUAAGUCAGUGGUGAAAUCUCUGGGCUUAACCCGGAAACUGCCAUUGAUACUAUUUGUCUUGAAUAUCGUGGAGGUCAGCGGAAUAUGUCAUGUAGCGGUGAAAUGCUUAGAUAUGACAUAGAACACCAAUUGCGAAGGCAGCUGGCUACACAAAUAUUGACACUGAGGCACGAAAGCGUGGGGAUCAAACAGG
rnacentral:rRNA from 1 species